UACAGGGGGUGCAAGCGUUGCUCGGAAUCACUGGGCGUAAAGCGAACGCAGGCGGACCGUCAAGUCAGGGGUGAAAGCCCGAGGCUCAACCUCGGAACUGCCUUUGAAACUGACGAUCUUGAGUACGGGAGAGGUGAGUGGAAUUCCUGGUGUAGAGGUGAAAUUCGUAGAUAUCAGGAGGAACACCGGUGGCGAAAGCGGCUCAGCUGGCCCGAUACUGACGCUCAUGUUCGAAAGCGUGGGGGAGCAAACAGG
rnacentral:rRNA from 1 species